UGCAGGUAGGGGUGUAAACGAGACGAACACGAGCGGGCUGGGUUGGCUUUUGUUCGGCUCGUUUAUUAAACGAGUAGAACACGAAUUAGCUUGUUAAAGUAUCGAGCCGAAAAAUUUAGCUCGUGUUCAACUCGUUUAUUAACGAGCCGAAUACCAGCUGGCUCACGAGCUGGCCAACGAACAAUAAAUUAAAAAAAAUUAGAUUAAAUAUAUAUAAAAAAUAAAUUUAUAAAAUCUUAUCCAUUAGACUUUGAUCUAAUAAUUGAAACUUUACAUGUAUUUUUUAAUAAUUAAGCUCGCAUUUAUAUUUUUAUUUUGCUAAAAAUUAAAUAAUAAAAACAUAUAUUAUAUAUAAUUAUUUAUUUAUAUAUAAAAAUAUAAAUUAAAUAAAUUAUAUAACUAUAAAAUAGGAAAACUCUAGCCAGACUACUUUAGAAAGGUGUACAUCCUACACCCGUAUGAUCCAACGGCUGAUAUUAGGGCACUAGCACAGUAGUAGCAGCUAACUUCACUCCCCUUUUUAUUUCUUCCUAAAGCUAUACCCUUCUAGUACACAUCUCUCUCUCUCUCUCCCGCACACCUUAUUCUCGCUCUCUCCGUUUCUCGCUCUCUCUCUCACUCCCUCGCCUCUCUCUUGAUCUCGCGCUCUUCCCUCUCUCUUUCUCUCGCUCUCACUGGCAGGGCACUCAACUCCAUCGGGCAAAAGUUAGGCAGCACUCGUUCCACACAUCUCGUGUCCAAAGCCGUCUCGAAGGUGUCUCUCGCCCUCGCCUCUCUCCAUUGGUAGGAGAUUGCCUCUCAAUUGCUCCCCUAUUCAUCCCAGUACCUGUCACUCAUUCCUGCACUCAUGUGCGUCCAAAAUUGAAAACGAUUUCGGAGCUAAUUCGGCAACAACCGAACAGAGGAUUCAACUCAAACAGGGCAUUAUUUUUGAAUUUCUAUAAUCUUUUAUUUAAAAUUUUAAAUUUAAUAUAAAUUCUAUAUUUUGAGGGUUUAGGGUUGCAGGUUGGGUUUGUCUUUACGUGCUCCGGAUUUCGUCACCGACUAGCUGAUUAAUUUUAUUUUUAGGACACUGCUGGUAUAUUAUAUUUUUUAUUGCAUUUGUAAAAAUAAAGUAUUUAUGAUUAGAAUUAGGGUUUAGGGUUUAGAAGAUGCGUCCACAGUAACACACAUAUAUUUCAUGCAUUUCAUAAAAUUUUGCUUAGUUUAUGAUGGAAAACAUAUUUAGCGUUACUAGUAUGCAGAAAGGUAUAGAAAAUAUGUUUGGGGUUACUAGUAUAUUCUCUUAUGCAUACUUGUAUAUUUGUAUUAAUAAUUAAUUUGUUUGUAUUCGUGUAUAGUUGGCUGUGAGCAUGUAUGCGUUACAAUUUGUCACUCUUAUGCCAUAAAGGGUUUACUCUUAGAGCUUAUAAGAACACUCUUAGUAGAACACUCUUAUAAAAUUUGUGUUUGCAAACAUGUAUGCUUGACAAUCUGACACUCUUAUGCCAUAAAAGAACAUACUUACAGCUUAAUAGAACACUCUUAUUAGCUUUAUGGUUGUGAACACUCAUUUGUCAUAGUAGAACAUUUCUAGGGCUUAAUAGAACACUUUUAUCAGAUGUAUAGUUGCGAACAUAUAUGCAUUGCAAUCUUACCCUCUUAUGACUUAAUAGAAUAUUUUUAAAGCUUAAUAGAACACUGCUAUCAGUUUUAAGCUUUAGAACGCUUUUAUGCCAUAAUAGAAUAAUUGUAAAGGUUAAUAGAACACUCUUAAUAGCUUUAUGGUUGUGAACACUCUUUUAUCAUAUGCAUUGCAAUCUUACCCUCUUAUGACUUAAUAGAACAUUCGUAAAGCUUAAUAGAACACUGCUAUCAGUUUUUGGGUUUAGAACACUUUUAUACCAUAAGGCUAUGUUUGGUAAUAGAAUAACCAGAGGAUAAAGUAUUUUAUCCUAUAUAUUCUACCAAACAAAAAAAAAAGACAGGAAUAGCUUAUACCGGUCAAAGCGGGUUAUUCCAGAAAAAACUGGAAUAACCCGUUAAGAUUAAUUCCCCCCCACCCCUGGAAUUAGAUUUUGUCCCAGGGGCAGGGAUGGGAAAUUCUAUUUUAUUUUGCUGCUUUGCCUCGUUCGUAUCGCCCCUUUACUCUUGCACCUGCCCCAUCUUCGUCUUCAUCUUUUUCUCGAGAAGCUGCGUCGUCUUCUUCCUCUUGUGAUUCUUCUUUACUUUUUCCUCGCACCUAUCUAUACCCCUCUCCCUACUCUUCUUCUCUUCCCUAGGCGAACAUUUCUUUUUUUUUCCUUUUUACUGCCUCGCGCCUACCAAAGAUAGCGUCAUCUUCUUCACCGCCCCAAAGACCCUAUUUAUCGUCUUCUUCACUGCCCCAAAACCCUAUUUAUUGGAGUGGUUUGCUUUUACUCCUGAAGCAAUGUCUCCUACGCAUCUAUUGUUUUCAAAAGCUCGGUUCCCUGCGUAGAUCGGCCAUUAAUUAAGGCAAUCUCUCUUGGCUGCACAACAGAAAGAUAUCUUCUCCGAUCUUGCUGUUAGUUCGAGUUGUCGAGUCGUCUCCAUUAACUACACUUAUUUUCUCCUACCUAACAUAGUAAGUCCUGACUUCUUCCCUAUAAAUAGUAUGCACCAGGGUGAGAUGCAAACCCCUCAAAAAUUCUGUGGUUGAGGAAACUCUACCCUUCAUUGUGCUCAUCUGAAUAGUUAAUCGUAUUUGCGCUCCUUGAUCUUACAAAGGUGGGUUUUUUUUUAACUAGUUUGAUGUAACUUGUGGCCUAACUUUGAUAAUGCUGGGCCUUGAAUGGGAACGAGAUGUAUCCUAUUAACAAGCAGUGAAGCAUUUUUGAAUUCAGAUGUAUUGUGGUUUGGAGGCAUAUGGGAUUAGUCCUAUGCAGCUACCAAUUCAAUACAUAGGACGAUUCAUUCAUGUUGAGUGAUUGCUCCAUUUAUAUUUAUGUGUUGAUUCCUAUUAUUAUUUUAUUUCAAUUGUAAAGCUUCAGUUUGAGUGUAUUAAUUAUGGCCGAAAAUUCAUCUACUCUUACGUCUUGCUUUUCUCUUGGUUUCUACUAGAUUCGUCUUAUUACUUUAUUUCUUAUUCAUUUUUUACAACUAUUAUGCUGAAAAGUUCAUAAUAGUUGAUUUUAAAUAAUUAGAUUUUUAGGUAAACCAUCAGAUUUUUCUUAAUUUCUGUAAUAUAAUGUGCCUACUUUAAAUAAUAGUAAAUAAUAUUGUUGAAAGACAAGGUUGUUGUUUUAUAUAAUUUUGCAUGCUAUUUAUAUUAUGUUUCUUUGUCUUCCUAUUGCAUUUUAUUUAGGCUCUCUGGAUAGGCCAUCAUUUGUAUGGGUCUAUUCAAAGUGCAAUAAUAUAGGUUCAUAAAUAGCAGGACAAAAAUAAAGAUAUGCUGCCAUCAAUUCUACACAGUUAAAAAACUGGAAUAACCAUGUUCUAUAUAUAGCUGAACACUGGGAAUUAUCAGUAUCUGCUGAUGAACAUGUACUCAAUGCAUAUGAUCUUGGAGGUAUUGUGAAAUGGUGGUGCUUUCUCUGUUGCCUUGUUGGAUGCCUUAUUUGACAUAAAAUGAGACGAUGAUGCAUGGGUAAGAAACUAGAACUUCAUGGUUGGGUGGCAUGUUUUUCGCAUUGCAGCCACCGUGAUCAUCAUUAUCCCCUUUCUUCUAAGCCAUGUUAACUUACUAUAAGCUGUACUUCACGACGACUUGUUAAUUUAUUUAUUUAUUUAUAUGUUGAUUAACUUCAGAUGCUACCUCAAAAUAGACAAGUUCAUCGUUUUGUAAGACAAAACAUAAACGUUAUUGAUGUCACCUCAACUGAUAGCCAAAGCCUCCAAAGCCACAGUCAGGAAAUCUCGAAACCCAGAGUACGCUCUGGAAAUUGGACAAAGGUCAUGGAUUCGGCAAUGUUGAACUUGAUGACAGAAGAACAUGUUCUUGGAAAUUUCGUCAAUGGAAGUUUUACUCCACUUGCUUGGGGAAGAAUAAUUCAUGAUUUCAACCUGCGAACAAAAGCAAACUUUGUUAAAAGCCAUUUACAAAAUCGACUAAAAGUGUUGAAGCGACAAUUCGUCAUGUAUCAAACAUUAGCUAAUAAGAGUGGAUGGGGUUGGGAUUAUGAUCGCAACAUUCCAACAGCAGGCGACCUAAGUGAUUGGGAUGUAGUGGUAGCGGUAUGUUGUUGAACCAAUUAUCUUGAAAUUUUAAUUUUUAUAUAAUUAUAGUUUUCUCAGUUGACCAUUGUGUUUUAUAUUGUUACAAGAAAAUUCAGCUUAUGCUAAGUGUAGGGACAAACCGUUCCCUGCAUAUAAGGACAUUGAGUUCUUAUCUGGAAAGACCACUGCUACGGGUAGGCAUGGAUUUACGACUGGAAUGCAAAGUGAGGAUGUUCGUAGCACGUCAUCAUCAUCCCCGGGCACAACCGCCAUUUUAGAGCAAAUCAGAAAAUCCAUGGCCGGUCCUUCAGGACAUGGGCAAACUUCUGGUAGCCACCAAUUACCCAUGGCAAUGUCGCCGCAAAAUGAAGAUGGCAUCAAUGAUGCAACUUCAUAUUCUCCCACUCCAACCCCAGUUAAGAGUGGAAAUCCGCACAUUACUAGUGCUUCUGCUCAUACUUCUUCUGGUAAGAGACGUCGUUCCUCACCUCCGUCACGUAAGACUACACCGACAUCAACCCGUAAAGGAAAAAUUGAAAACAACUCUGAUUGUAUGCAAGAGUUGGUUGAGCUUGGCAAAAAAAGAUUGAACAUAGCUGAGCGAUUGCUACAGCGUGAGAUUGACGCUUGUCCAAAACUUCACUCCAUAGAGGAGUGUAUGGUAAGACUAAAUAACAUUCCCGGUCUAUCUCUUGAAGCUAUCCUCUCUGCAUGUGACGCUUUCAAGGAUGAGCGCAAUAGGUCAAUGUUCAUGUCUAUGAGUGGAGAUAUUUUGUAUAUGUGGAUUGACCGUCAAGUGGUCAUGCAACGGCUGGCCACUGGAAACAUGCCUGACGCACCCUCCUUCCCUCCUAACUAGAUAAAUAUCUUUAAUCUGCCACCUGGUUUUUGCGGCCUUGCACACAAACUUGAUAUAUUUUGGGUUUUCUAUGUGGUUAGCAAGGCCUAUAUGAAUUACGUUCCUACUGUUUCGCCCUUUUUUGUAUCUAAACUACUAUAUUUAUGGUCUUUUAGUUUCCUAUAUUAUGGCUAUUUCUAAUCUAUGUAGAAUUGAUAGCAGCUUAUGUUAUCCUUUAUCGUACUAUUUAUGGUCAAUGUAGUUGGAAACUCAAAUGUAUGGAACGAUGUUACUUCACUGUUUAAAAUAGUAAUAUCCUGCUGUUUAAAAACUAAUUAUUGCUAUUUUAAAUUAAUUAGAACCGAUGGGGCUUAUAAUAUUGUAGUUUUUGCACUGAUUAAGGAUUAAUGGCAGCAUAUUUUUCCUCUGUAACUUUGCUUAUGAAUGUAUAAUAUAGUUAUAUUUAAAAUCUUGAAUUGAUGGUAGCAUAUAAUUUUUUGUUCCUGCUAUUUAAGCAUCUAUAUUUGUGCAGUUUGUAAACUAUCUAUAUUUGAUGGCACGAUAUCAAGAGGCAUUGUUCCUGCUUUUUAUGUAAAUGGUUGGAAGUAGGGAUGACUACUAUUGCAGCCACCAUUUUAUUUUAAACCCUUUCACUCUUAAUCCUGCUUAAAUAACAUGACCUUUAUACUUCCAGUUCUCUAUCUCUGUGGAAAUGAUGGCAACAUAUUUUUUCUUUUUUAUGUUCUGCUUUAAAUGGAACUAUACUAAUGCAGUUUCUCUUUAAUGAAUUGAUGACAGCAUAUAAUCUUUUUUCCUGCACUAUAUGCACCUAUAUUAUUGCACUUUGAAAACUAAGAAUGAUUGAUGACAGCAUAUCAAGAGGCACUAUUCUUGCUCUUUAUGUAUCUAUGUUAUUGCUCUUUAAGCAUUGCUAUUGCUAAUUAUGCAGCAUUUUUUGUAUUAAAUUGUAGUUUAGUCAAUGAUGUGGUGUUAUAAAUGGUAUGGAGGCAGGGACAGACCACUGCAGUUGCCAAUAACAUUUUAUUGCAAACCCUUACACUUGAAAGCUAGCUUACAUCAAUGGACUUUUAUGAUUGCAUUUUCUUAACCAUAUGAAACUGAUAGCAGCACAUUUUUUUUCUAUUAUAAUUACAAUUUCUUAACCAUUUGGAACUAAUAGCAGUAUUUUGUCCAUUGCUUCUCUUUAUGCAGCAUAUUCAUAUCACAUUUUUGUUUCGACAAUGAUGCAUAAAAAGGUAGUAGAUGUAAAUGGUAGGGAAGAAUGGACCAAUCCCACUGCAGCCACAGUUUUAUUCUAAACCUUUUUACAUCUGAGCCAUCUGAAAUCGAAAUUGCCACUUCAUAAUCCAGCAUUUUUAGAUUGUGUAAAUUAACAUGCAUAUUAGAAUGUUCAUUCUUUCUAAAAAUUGCUUUUUAUUUUUUUGUUGGAUUGUAGUGAUGACUCAGUUAAUCAAUCGCCGAGUUUUUAGAUCUCCAACUGUGGCGAAUCUCAUGGCAUUCUUAGAUGAAGAGGAAGAUUAUUGGGAUGAGGUGCAAGUUAUGUUUAUCAACGAAGGUGUCUUUGAGUUUCAAAAUACCUUGUAUAAGAGACCAUGUCACACUAGACCGUUCACUGGUCACCAACUAAUUAUGGACAUAUUGCGGGGGCAUCCUGAUAGAGGGUGUCAACAUUUUCGAAUGUCGAAUACUACUUUUUUGAGACUUCGAGAUGAAUUGGUUGGGAAGGGGUUGAUACAAGGUACUCGAAAUCUUACUAUCGAUGAGCAGCUUGGCAUAUUUUUGUUUGGUGUAGGCCAUGGUGUGACGAACAGAGUGUUGGCUGAAACAUUUCAGCACUCAGGGGAGACUGUUAGUAGAUAUUUGAAUAAUGUGUUAAAUGGUGUGGUCGAGCUUAGGCACGAAUAUAUCCAGUUGCCAAGAAGUAAUGUGGGAGUGCACCCAAAAAUUAGAGACAAUCCAUUAUUUCAUCUAUUUAAGGUGAUUUGAAUAUGAACUUUUGCAAUAUUUGUUAAUUAGUUAUAAUAUUUUUCACUUAUUUGAUAUCUUCAUUAUUAAUCGCAGAAUGCAAUUGGUGCUAUAGAUGGGACGCAUAUACCGGUAGUCGUAAGAAAGAACAAGCAACCACGAUAUCAUUGUCGUAAAGGAUAUACAUCGCAAAAUAUGAUGGUUGCGUGCUCGUUUGACCACCAGUUCUUAUUCGUCUGUACCGGGUGGGAGGGAUCGGCAGCUGAUAUGAGGGUGCUACGUUGGUGUUGUGAAAGUGGGGGUUUCAUAGUUCCUGAAGGUAGAGUAAUUUUUUAAUUUCGUCAUUUUCCAUUGUGCUAUUUUAAAUUAACAGUUCGUUUUUUUAUAGGAAAAUUUUACUUGGUGGAUUCUGGUUAUGCAAACACUGAUCGAUUCCUCGCACCUUUUAGAGGAGAGCGCUACCACCUAAGCCAAAUUGGUGGCAAUGCAAGGGCGCGCACACAUCGAGGACCUCGAGAUUUAUACAAUCAUAGGCAUGCCCAGCUUAGAAAUGUUGUUGAGAAGGCUUUCGGCAUCUUGAAGAAACGAUUCAAGGUGCUUCGCCAAGCAACUCCUUUUCCGUACAAGGUACAAUGUCGCAUAGCCUUAGCAUGCUGUGUAAUCCACAACUUCAUCAAGAGGCACCAAGGGAGCGAUAGAUAUUUUAAUAUGCAAAUGGAGCCAAAUCCACAUGACGACCGAGACGAGGAUCCUAUACGUAUGGUUGGCAUAGAUGAAUCCCGACGAGGCGACGCCCUUCGUACUAUGAUCACAGAGCAAUUAUGGAAUAAUAGAUAGGAUGCAAUAUCUUGGACUAUAUAAUUUUAAUAUUUCAUUUUAUUAGAGGACAUUUCCGUUCACAUAUUAGUAUUUGGCUUUGAUAGUCAAUAUGAAGCUAGAAACUAUUGUUUACGUCUGUUUGUGUUUUUUUUUCUCAAUGAACUUGUGUUGUUUAUUAUGUUUAUAUAAUUUGUAUGAUCUUUUUUCUGAAUGAACUUGUGUGUUGAUUAUGCUUACAUAAUUUGUAUUAGCCAUUAGGAGGUUAACCUAUAUAUUGAUGAUAAUUAUCAUUCAAUAACGAUGUGGAGUUUUUCUGCUAUUUAUGGCCCUACGACAUUGUAGUUUUGAAACCAUGUACAAUUGGGGGCAACUAAUCCCUCUUAUGCAAUUUGUGGACCUAUAUUAAUGUAAUUUUAUUAGUUGUUCAAUUUAUAACAACAAAUUUAUUGUAUUAUAACCUUCAUUACAAAUUUAGCGUUAAUGUAGUAUCUAGACGACUAGAAUUUUUGACAGAAUAUCUUUCCUACUGUAAUGCAAUGUUUAAACCUAUAUUUCAUAAAUUAUUAUUUAAUUUUUUAAAAUUAAAAAUUUAAUUAUGUAGUAUUGGGCCAUCUAUUAGUUAGUUUUGGCAUUUAUGCUGUCAUGCUUAUUUAAUUUAGCACUCCAUUUUAUAUAUAUAUUUUUUAUCAUAUUUAUUAAUUUAAUAAUUUUUCAAAUUGUAUGAAAAUUAUUAUAAGUUAUAUUGUGCAGUGCCUAUAUAUUCAAUAUUUCCUACAUUAGAGUAACAUAGAAGGGCCAACUUGGAAUUUUUAAAAAUUUCAAUCUACUUUUGUUCUUAUUCUUUCUAUUCUCUAGAAAAUAACCAAACAAUAUUUUAAUUAUUCCAUAGAAUAAGAAAGUGUCAGACCAAACAAAAAAUUUCUUUUAUUCCUCUAUAUCCUAGAAUAUAAAAUAAUUUCAAGAAUAUAAAUAUUUAUCCCUCUGAAUAUUAUUCCAUUACCAAACAUAGCCUUAUUGUUAAACCUUGUGUAACAAUUCCAUUCACAUGGCCAAUCAUGUCUCUAUUGUCAUUGUUUUCCUUGUUUACUACAAUCAAGGUCCAAGUCUUGCAUUCAUACAUCUUCUAGGGUUCUACAUACAUGUCCAUUAUGGUUCUUGUUCAAUCACUAUGUUCAACUACAUUAGAAGCACAAUAUUGAAACUCUAACCAUUAAUCACAUGUAAAUAUCCCUACUAUGCAUGAAUGACUCUAUAUACAAAUAUGCUCAACAAAGGUGAAAAUAGACAUAGAGGGGAAUCCGAUAAUUCCGGCAUGCACCCCCCACCUUGAGUGGUAAUAGAUGAAGAAUAUGGAGACUCCCGAACGUUACGAACGCCGAAUCCGCAUCCUAUAGUCAAAAUAGUGCCAAAUUAGGCCCCUUUAUACAUGAACUACUUUUAAACAUUUUCGUAACGUUAAACGGAGUUGUCCCACGCGUCAAGGGCACCCCCAAUUGGGUUUCCACAAGGUCAAUUCGUUCCCGAAAAAUUCUAAGGCAGAAGUCCUAAAUUUGAGCCCUAACAAUGUCAUGUAUAGAAUGCUCCUAGAUUGAUCUCACCCCUAAGCAAAAGAUAGCUUAGAAUCACCUAGGAAGCUCACUAAUACCUUUACAAAGCCAUUCUACACAUUCCUAGGGCAUCUAGCAUGAACCUAGGGUUUCACCAUGAGAGCACCUCAAGAAAACCAUGGAUUUCAUGGUUUCAAGGUCAAUAGAGGGUUCUAGGUUAAUUAGAGGAUCAAAACUCUAAAUCCCAAGGUUUAAAACCAAACCCUAGAGUUCUACAUGCUAGAAAUUCACCUUAGCCCAAGUUCCACCAAGCUCCUCCUUGUUGGAGAGCUCCUAGACCCACCAAAGCCACUAAAAAUCCCUCCUCAAGCUUCUUCUUCUUUUUUUCCAAGCUCUAGAGCUAGGGUUCUAGAGAGAGAAAGAGAGGGAAAUGAGAAGAGGGUGAAAAAUGGCUGUGGGAGAGAGGGCUAGGGCCAUAUAAGGUGUUGUGACAUUUGAACUUAGGCCCCUCCACUUCCUAUUCUGUGCACUGCCCAGACUGGGCAACUUUCGCAGUCGGGGACCCGUCUCCCCGACCAGGGACCGGUUCCCGAACGUUAGGUUUCCAGGACUUAGCUAAAUUUCCAGGUUUUUGGCUGGCUGCGCAGUGAGAGACCGGUCUCUCCUUCAGGGACCGGUCUCCCGAGGAUCGGUCUCACUGCCAGGGACCGGUUGCCUCAAGAUUCCUGGCAGGCUACGCGCACGGGGACCGGUCUCUACUUCAGGGACCGGUCCCCAAGAGCUCAAAAUCUGGGACUUAGCCAGAUUUUGUACUUUCGCUCUCACGGGUCCCUUUGCACUAUAUAUAGGCUCCAAUGCACUUAGGGCCUAUACCAACUCAUUCCACUCCGCGUUCCGCUUGUUUCGACGAAACUUGGCACGAUUUACGAGGGAUGUGGUAUGUUACAUUCUCCACCCUUAAUUUAGUUUCGUCCGCGAAACUACUAUGUUUGAAAUCUAGAUUUCAUACCUCACUUCAGAUCCUCGAAGAGGUGAGGAUAACGCUCCCUCAUUUCGCUUUCGAGCUCCCACGUUUCUUCCCGGUCAUCAUUUUUGCACAAAUAAAUUUUAACAUACGGGAUUUCGCGGUUCCGUAGUUUCCUCACUUCUCGUUCUGCAACAUACGCCGGAAACUCUUCGUAGGUCAUAUCCUCCUGAAGCUCUAUCGGUAUAUACGAGAGAAUAUGAUCCGGAUCGUAAACAUACUUGCGGAGUUGGGAUACAUGGAAUACAUCAUGUACUCCCGCGAGUCUAGGUAGUAAUGCCAACUUGUAGGCCACCGCGCCAACUCGUUCCAAAAUCUCGAAGGGUCCAAUAUAGCGGGGACUUAGCUUCCCGCGAAUACCGAACCGCUUAACUCCUCGCAUCGGCGAUACUUUUAGAAAUACGCGGUCUCCAACCGUGAACUCAAUAUCCUUUCGCCGCUUGUCGGCAUAACUCUUGUGCCUUGAUUGUGCCGUCACUAAUCUUUGUCGGGCAAGGAGAACUUUCUCUUCCGCCUCCCGCACCACGUCCGGGCCAAGAAUCAUCUUCUCGCCCAUAUCGCUUCAGUGUAUUGGCGAGCGACAUUUCCUUCCAUACAGGGCCUCGAAUGGCGCUAUCGUAAUGCUUUCUUGAUAGCUAUUGUUGUAUGCGAAUUCCGUCAUCGGUAAGUGAUCGUGCCAUCCGCCCUUAUAAUCAAGCACACACGCUCGAAGCAUGUCCUCAAGUAUUUGAAUAGUCCUUUCCGAUUGACCGUCACAUUGAGGAUGGAAUGCCGUACUAAAGUUGAGCCGCGUGCCCAAUGCAUCUUGUUAAGAUCUUCCAAAAAUGAGAUGUGAACCUAGGGUCCCGAUCCGAUACAAUAGAUACCGGAACCCCGUGAAGUCUCACCACCUCGUCGAGAUAGACUUGAGCUAACUUGUCUCCCGACCAAGUAGUGUGGAUCGGCAAAAAGUGUGCCGAUUUUGUCAACCGGUCCACAACUACCCAAAUCGCGUCAUGUCUACCUUGUGAUCUAGGCAAACCUGUCACAAAAUCCAUUGCGAUGUUUUUCCAUUUCCACACGGGUAUAGGUAGACUUUGCAAUUUUUUCGCCGAAAAUCGACGCUCCGCUUUCACUUGUUGGCACGUGAGAUACUGCGCUACGAACUCUCCUAUAUCUUUCUUCAUGCCCGGCCACCAAUAAUGCAAUUUCAGGUCUCAAUAUAUUUUGGUGCCGCCCGGGUGAAUGCUAUAGGGAGAUUGAUGCGCUUCUUGCAUAAUCGCCCUCGGAAGAUUGUCGUCCUUGGGCACGCACCAACGAUCCCGAUAUCGUAGUGCGCUGUCAGUCCCAAUGCCAAAAUCAUCGGCACUACCGCUCUCAACUUUGCCCCGCACCUUUUGGAAAAAUUCAUCCGAUACUUGUAAUCCUUUAAUCUUCUCCAACAAGGUUGGUUGCACAACCAAGGUAGCAAGUGUUGCCGGCACUCCCGGCGCCACAACUUCUAGACCAAAUCGCUGCAUCUCCUUUUGCAAAGCCGGUUGAGGUGUAAUUUUUGUCGCCAAAUUCUCCGCCGACUUUCUACUUAGAGCAUCGGCCACGACGUUCGCUUUUCCGGGGUGGUAGAGAAUCGUGACAUCAUAAUCUUUGAGCAACUCUAACCCCCGCCGCUGUCGCAAGUUUAGCUCCUUCUGGAUGAAUAAGUAUUUGAGACUUUUAUGAUCGAUGUAGAUCUCACAAUGUUUCCCAUACAAGUAAUGCCUCCACAAUUUUAGCGUGAAAACAACCGCCGCUAGCUCAAGAUCGUGAGUCGGGUAGUUCUUUUCAUAACUCUUCAACUGGCGCGAAGCAUAAGCUAUGACUCGGCCGUUUUGCAUUAAGACACACCCGAGACCGAUGUAUGAAGCAUCACUGUAUACGACAUAACUCUCUCCCGGCGUCAGCAAAGCAAGCACCGGAGUAGAUGUCAGUCUAUUCUUUAGCUCCUCAAAGCUCCACUCACACUCGGGGCUCCAAACAUAUGCACCCCUUUGUGCGUAAGGCGCGUUAGUGGAGUUGUUAUCUUAGCAAACCCCUCCACGAACCGCCGGCAGUAGCCCGCAAGUCCAAGAAAGCUACGAAUUUUCGCCACACUUGUUGGGCCAGGCCAACUUUAAUCGCUUCAACUUUCUUUGGGUCCACCGAGAUGCCAUCUCCGGAUACAACGUGACCCAAGAAGGUAACCUCCGAAAGCCAAAACUCACAUUUCUUUAGUUUUUCAUAAAGCUUUUCCUUCCGGAGUAUCUCCAAUACGAGUCUUAGAUGCUCCUCGUGUUCUUCUUCGGUCCGAGAAUAUACCAAUACGUUGUCAAUGAAAACCACGAUGCACCAGUCCAAUAGCGGACGGAAGACUCGAUUCAUUAGGUCCAUAAAUGCCGCCGGGGCAUUAGUGAGCCCGAAUGGUAUGACUGUAAACUCAUAAUGGCCAUACCGCGUACGGUACGCCGUUUUAUGUACGUCUUUGGGUCGUAUCUUCAACUGAUGAUACCCCGAUUGAAGAUCAAAUUUUGAAUUUACUCUUGACCCUUGCAACUGGUCGAAUAAGUCAUCAAUUCUCGACAACGGAUAUUUGUUCUUGAUCGUCACUCUAUUCAACUCGCGAUAGUCAACGCAGAGUCGAAGUGUGCCGUUCUUCUUCUUUACAAAUAGCACCGGAGCUCCCCACGAGGACACCCUCGGCCGUACAAAGUCAUUAUCGAGCAAGUCUUGCAACUGGGCUUUCAACUCUUUUAGCUUCACCGGUGCCAUUCUAUACGGAGCCUUCGAAAUUGGCGCCGCCCCGGGAAUCAAGUCAAUGACAAACUCGACUUUCCGAUCCGGGGUCAAUCCCGGUAACUCCACCUAAAAUACAUCUGGAUGCUCACGUACAACCCGAAUACUCUCCAGUUCUGGGUACUCCUUUCGGGAGUCUACGAUGGUCGCCAAAUAAGCCUUGCAACCUGUAAUACACUGAACUUUUGCAAAUUGCGAAGUUCGAGUGUGAGGAAUGAGAUGUGGAUCUAUCCUACAUAUUCUAAAAGGCUUGGACAAGUUUUUGUACAAGUUAGAGAAUGAUUGGAUGGCCAAAAGCAAGAAAGUGUUUUGAUCUGGCGAAAUCAGUAUUUUUCUGCUUGGUGUACCGGUACAGCCAUCAUUGUGUACCAGUACACAGUGGCAGAAACAUGGCAGCAGGGUUAAUUUGGUAAAUUCACACCUUAUGCUUAUCUUCUUAACCCCUGCACGACUCCAGGAGCUCAGGGAAGGUUGCUGGAGCUCAGGGAAAGCCUCUUUCACCUUAUCCACUCUCUCUCUCUAGGGUUUUUCUCUCUCUACAUAGAAAUCGACGAUUUCGCUCGUUUUCGUCGCAUCGCGUGUUCUUCGCUGGUUGCGACUGUCGCGGAGCUUACGUGGACGUGUGAGGGAGUGUUUUGGAAGGCUUUUUGCAGCUCUGAACCAGUAGGGUGGUGGUUGGAAGCUUGAGAAGGUAAUCGACUCAAUUAUUCCUCAAUCGAUGCUCUAAUAGUCGAGUCGGGUGCUGAUUUUGGGUUUUUGUUGUUCCAGCUGAGAGAAAAGUGGAUUUGCUGCUAUAACAGGGUCAGAUAUCGUAGAUUAACUCAGUUGGGAUUGAGUUUAUGGCUUAAGAAGGUAAACUACUUCCUUUCUUCAUUGUUUGGGCACUAAUUCAACGAUAAAAGGCUGAUUUUGGGGUCGCUGUUCGCAGCAGGUUUUCGAAUUAAAUUGAGCUUAUUUGGUGACCUUGGGGAUUGGUUUAGAAGGUGUUCUAACCUGAGGUAAGCAGGAAUUUCAGUUCUAAAACUGAUUUAGUAAGAAUUUGACUAUAAUAGCUUAUAUGCAAGCAUAUUAAGGCCGUUUAGUGUUUGUUCGCAGCGAGAGUGCUACCGACCUUGGGAUCACCUUCAGUUGGCAUUGGAGAGCAAUUAGAGGCUUAACUUGAGGUAUUAAGCUAGCCCAAAACAGGGAUUUAAGUUACUACUUCGUAUUAAGUGCAAGAGUACCGAAAUUGGACAUUUUGGAUGUAUGUUUGAUACGGUUUUGAUGCAUUAUUUUCAGCAGGGCUGAGGCUUGAUUGAGCUGAAUUUCGGGACUCUUGUGGACUGAUUUGAGCCUAGUAAUAGGUUGGUUUGACCUAACCAGAGCAAGUGAAGCGCCCCUAUGUUCUAUAUGUCACUAUAGAAUUGGUAUAGUUGUGUGCUUUUGUGGUUGAUAUAGGACUUGAGUCUAGUCACUAUACUAUAGUGUCGAUACAUAAUUGAUUUGAGAUCUCUAUGAAGUAGAGAACAUUUAUGCAUACAAGUCUUUAUGUUCAUGUUUAACUCGGUUGAAUGACUAAUGGACAAGUUAUCAUGUUCCGAGAAACUAGGGAACAAUGACAUUCUUAUGACUUUAUCGAUUAUAAAGUAUAGAAUAAUGACAUGCUUUGGGACUAUAAUAAUAAUGCCAUGAUAGUGGAAAAGUUUCUAAUGCCAUAUGUAAAUUAGCAUUACUCUCACAUGUUUAUUAAUCUAGUGGAUACUAGCUAUUGUCAAUAUUCGUUAUAUUGAAAUUCCGAUCAAAGGAUCGAGAGUGAGAACAUUACAAGUUAAAUCGUGAGGAUUUAAACAAGUUGGACUAUCGACCUUGCUUGCUUGCCAUCAUGCUCAUUCGCACAUGCUUGUGAGGGUCGCUCUCUACAAGCCGGCACUCCGGAGUUGGCCUACGCGACAGUUGCUCGCCCGUGCGGGAUUGGGUGCCGAAGUGGAUUGCCGUGGGAAGUGUAUACUACCACGAGGACAUUAGGCGCAGCGCAAGCUGGACUACCUUGAGUAGGUCCUUAUGAAUAAAAUGAAAGUACUAAAUGACAAAGGACAGUAAUGAAUGCUCAUCAGUUAUAAUGUACAGUAUUUACUUACACAUCUAUAUUUAUGUUCAUGUUUAUAGUAGUUGCUAUGCUUCUAUCAUUCAGUUGAUUCAUUACUGUUGAUGCUAUGAUCACAUGUUGUUUACAUGUUCAUUAUUUGUUAACAUUGGCUUAUGAAUUGUUAGCAUUGAAAAUAUAUCAUGCAAAUUACUGCUUUUAUUUCCAUUCUGUACAUCUUGAGCCUAGUGGUGUAAUUCGCCGAGGCUGGCGGCUUACCCACUGGAAACUAUUGUUAAUAGUUCUCACGCCCUUUUUUUUAUGGUUGUUUUUACAGAGCCAUCUACAGGAAAGGCUAGGGAUCGUGGAAAGGGAGUCGCGUCUAGCUAGACAUUGCUAGGAGCUUGCUAGUUGAUCACCUUGCUACUCGGGCUACGGCCGAGGGUGAUGUCCCAGUGUAUAGAGUGACUACCAUUGUAUAAGUAUUUUAAGUAGUCUAUGAUGUUUAUUUAUUGUUUGGAUCCAGAGUUUAUAGUUUUUUUUUUCUUCUCUAUGAUGUCGAGAUUUUGGAUUGGUUACUCUCCGUUCUUCUGUUGAUCGUAUUGUUGAUUUAUACUUCGCUCUGAUAUCAGGAUAGGAUUUUCUAUAUUUUCUUCCUAUUGACUUGCUUCUUUGUAGACGCCUUAUAUACUGCAGGUGUAUGGCGGGUCUGUGCACGUACCGGAUGCACUUCCGCUGGUACCCGGGCAUGACACAACCAUCCCUAAUCAUUCUCUUCGCCCUCACCGUCGAUAUAGUCGCCGCGAAGCGUUUGCCUUUGCACGCCCGAUACAUUAACUCCUCUUGGUUAGGCUCACGGAACGUGAUCACCCUUCUUUCGCAAUCUAUAACCGCGUAAUACUUGAAGAGCCAAUUGAUCCCCAAGAUUACCUCGAAGCCCCACAUUUCCUUUAACACUAGAAGGUCGAUCGGCAUAAUCUAAUCACCUAUCUGCACUGGGCAGUCCAAGAACUCAUCGUGAACGUCGAAUGAGUGCUCGGGAGUAUUCACCGACCAAUACUCCUCGCUAUGAGUGAUUUCUACGUUAUGAGCUUGUGCAAAUGAUGCCAAUAUGAAUGAAUGAAAUACACCCGUAUCAAAUAUGGCCCUAGCUCUAGUGCCUCUGAUAAGAAUAAUACCUGUCACGACGUCGUCAGGAACAAUGAUUGGUGGCUCCUCCACCUGAGUGGCAAAUACCCGCCCACUAGGUACUCGAGAGGCCUCCGGCUGACGAGGCGCCGACGAUCGUCCAGCAGAUACGGCGGGUGGUAGUCCCGCCAGCUGCCGUGGGGUGUACUGAACUGAAGCUGAUGACGGAGCCGGGGAUGCGCCGCCCGGGCAUUCCGAACUCAUAUGUCCAGCAGAGCCGCACCGAUAACAUCUCCCCUCGCAUUGGGAAUAGUCCCUGGGCCUAUGAUUCCCGCCGCAAAUAACACACGGGAAGGAAGUCGCCUGGCUCUUGCCUUGUCACGCCCCGGGACCGGCGAAGGCCCUGCCGGUAGCGUGCCCAGACCCGCCAUAUGUCAACACAUAUAAGGCGUCUAUAAUAAAAGCGGAAGUAAAAGCAAUAAAUAGUACAAAUAGAGCAGUAACAACUAGUGAUAUCAGAGCGAGCAAUGUUCUAUCAUCUAAGCUAGAGUAGAGAAAGCAUAACUAAACAAUAAGAGUAAACAUAAGGUAGUACAAAUAACAUCUCCUCAACAGGAAUACAAGGAUCCAAAAGAAAGGUGGUCUCUCUACAAAUACGAGUACAACUCACAACCUCUCAUAAAAUAAAACUACGAAAGGUAGACCACCUAUCAAAUCGUCCUCAAAGGAAGCCAGCUCGAAGCAACUCCCUUCCCGCGGUCCCUAGCCUCUCCCGGUGUGAAAGGCUCUGAAAGAAAACACAAAACAGAGGGCGUGAGAACUAUGAUUUAUAGUUCCCAGUGGGCAAUUACUGACCUCAGCUCAGUGCACCACUAGGCCCUAAAAGAAAGGGUAAGUCUAACAAUAAUAGUAACGAGUAAAUUGCAUAUUAGAAAGCAUAAUAAUUAAGAUGCUAAACUACGACUUGCAAUUAAACAUGGCAUUCCUAAUGCGACUUUAUCUUGUCAUGGAUAUAUAUGUUCACAAGUAAUAUCAUGCUUUACUUUAUACAGAUAUGAAAGUGAUACUUUGUCAUGACUACAAUGCAUGUAAGGGUGCAAUAAACAACAUCUCCUAGCAUACUACAUGUACGUAUGAAUACCCAAAAGUCCACAACUAUGCUAGAAGUACGUCCAAGUAAUUCUACUACUACUCUCUGACUAGUAGUGAUCAUAAUAAACUCAACACCGGGUCGAUUUCCAUUUCCAAUUAAGGACCAACCAAAUGUAGUCCAGCUUGUGCCGCCUAAGUGCCAUUCCAUUUUAAUAUUAUUUUUUUUAUAUUUAUUAAUUUAUAUAUUUUUCAAUUGUAUGAAAAGUGGGUUAUAAAGUGUAUAUUGAGUGCAGUGCCUAUAUAUUCAAUAUUUCCUACAAUAGAGUAACAUAGAAGCGCCAUAACUUGGUAAUUUUUAAAAAAAUUUCAUUUACUUUUGUUCUUAUUGCUUUUAUUCUUUUAGAAAAUUAAUCCAAAACAAUUUUAAUUAUUCCAUAGAUAAGAAGAGUGUCAGACCAAACUAAAAAAAUUUUUUAUUGGCCUCUAUGAUCUAGAAUGAUUAAAAAUAAUUUCAAGAAUAUAAAUAUUUAUCCUGUGGAGUGGUGUGGAGUUGGCCAAAAUAGCCUUGAUUGGGGUUAAACUUCGGUAACAAUUCCAUACAUGCGCCAAUCAUGUGCUCUGAUUGUCAUUGUGGGUUGGGGGUUUCCUUGUUACAUUCAGUGUUGGAGAUGUCUGUAAGUCUUUGCAUUCAUUACAUCUUCUAGGGUUCUACAUACAUGUGUGUUUGUGGGUAUUCUUGGUCUGUGCGCGAGUGGAUAGUAAGGAUUAGAGAGGCGAAUAUUGAAACUCUAAAUUAAAUCAAUGUAAAUAUCCCUACUAUGCAAUGAAUGGACUCUAUUUAUUACAGAUUGUUGUCAACAAAGGUGUGUGAAUAGGAGAGGUGAGAGGUGGAAUACGAUAAUUCCGGGGAUUGACCCCCACUUGGGGGGUGAGUGGGUAUAGUAGUAUGAGUAAUAUGGGAGUUACUCGGGGUCGAAGAUGUGGGAACGAACGCGACAUGCAUCAGCAAAGUGGGUGCGGGGCCAAAUUAGGCCGGGUGGGUAUACAUGGAAGUACUUUUAAAACGAUGUUGUGGUAGUGUGUUUAAACGGAGUUGUGGAGGGUGAGGCCCGCCAAUUGGGUUUCCACAGGUUUAAUUCGUUGCCGGAGAGUGUUGUGAGAACUAAAUUAGCAAAUUGAGUGGUAUAGAGAGUGUUAGGAUGUGUGAUGCACCCCAAGCAAAAGAUAGUUGAAUCAGCCUAGGGAGCUCACGUAUUACCUGUACAAAGCGGGCAUUGGAGUGUGUGGCAUUAGGUGGACCUAGGGUUUCGGAUGCUCGAGCGAUGUGUGAUGGUGUGUGAGGUGUGAAUUGCCGGUUCUUGUGUUGAGGAUGGAUGUUGAAAAACUAUAAAAUCCAAGGGUUUAAGAGCCAAACCUUAGAUUGCUUACAUGCUAGAAUUCACCUUAGCCCAAGUUCCACCAGGGAGGGUCCUCUUGUUGGAGGAAGCUCCUAGACCACCAAAGCACUAAAAAUUCCCUCCUCAAGCAUCUUCUUCUUUUUUUCCAAGCUCUAUGGGAGUUAAGAAGAAGGAGGGAAAUUGAGAGAGGUGAAAAAGUGUGUGUGGGAGAGAGGGCUGGAUGGGCGGUCGAGGGUUAUAAGGUGUUGGGACAUUUGAACUUAGGCCACUCCACUUCUAUUCUGUGCAUGCCCAGCUGGGGUGGUUCGCAGUCGGGGACCGUCUCCCGACCAGUGACCCUUUCCGAAGUUUAGGUUUCCAGGACUUAGCUAAAUUUCCAGGUUUUUGGCUGGGGGGCUGCGGGGGUGAAGAGGCGGUGUGUGUGUGAGGGGACGUCUCGCCGAGGGAUCGGUCUCGGAUGCAGGGACGGGGUUGGGGCCUAAAGAUUUCUGGCAGGCUGACGUGUGUGACGGGGCGGCCGGUGUGUGGGGGACGGUCUCCCAAUGAGCUCAAAAAUCUGGGACAGUUAGCAGAUGUUUAGAUACUUUUCAAUGUAGCGUGGCUAGCGGGUGUGCGGGACGUUGAGUGUGAGUGUUCCAAGUGAUGAGUAUGAGCAACUCAGUCCACUCCGCGUUUGCCGCUUGUUUUCGACGAAUUGGCGACGAUUUACGAGGAUUGUGGUUAUGUUACAUUCUCCAUCCCUUUAAUUAGUUCUGGUCCGCAAAAUACUAUGUUUGAAAAUCUAGAUUCAUUACCUCAUUCAGUAUUCGCGCGAAGAGGUGAGAUACGGCUCCCUCAGUGUGUGGUGUGUCGAGUUCGUAGCGUCUUGUCAUCAUUUUUGCACAGAGAGUGUGUGUUGUGUGAGGCGGGAUUUCGCGGGGUUUUCCGUAGUUGUCCUCACUUCUCGUUCUGGCCAACAGUAGCCGGAAAGGUGUGUGGUAGGUCAUUAUGCUGCGUGACGGGGUUAUCGGAGUGUGUGACGGUGGAUGAGAAUAUGGAUUUUCUCGUGAUCGUAAAAUACUAUGCGGGUGUGUGAUAGAUGGAUUAUAAUCAUGUACUCCCGCUUCGUGGAGUCUGAUGGUAGUAAGCAACUUGUAGGCGCGUGCGAGGACUGGUGUGCGGAAGUUGGUGGGGGUGGGUAUAGCGGGGACUUAGCUAUCCUAGCGCGUAAUACCGGAAUACUUAAUCCUGCGAUCGUGGGGCGAUACUUUUAGAAAUACGGGUGUUUGGUGGGCGGGGGGGUCGUCCAGCCUGUGAACUCAGUAUUCCUUUCGCCGGGGUUGUCGAGUGUGCUUGUGCCGUUUGAUGUGUGCGGCAGAAUGUGUGUGGGAGUGGGAGGAGUGUGUUGUGUGUGAGGUCCGGGUGUGCGAGUCUUUCGGCGCGAGUGAGGUGUGUGCAGGUGAGUGUGGCGGAGCGACAUUUCUUCCAUACUUAAGGGGGGCUCGCGAAUUGGCGCUAUGUAAUGCUGUCGUGUGUAUAGCUAUUGUUGUUAUGUCGUGAAUUCCGUCAUCGGUAAGAUGAUCUGGUGGUUGUAUUUAUAAUCAAGCACAGCACGGUGUGUGUUGGCUCAGAUUGUUGGUGUUGAAUAGUCGCUUUGCGAUUGGAGCGUGUGGGCGAUGUGUGGUGGGAUGCGUGUAAAUUUGCAGUGCGCGGUGUGGGCCCAAUGCAUUUGUUAAGAGUCUUUCUAAAAAUGAGAUUGUGGGGCCUAGGGUCGCCGAUCCGAUAAAUGAGGGAUACCGAAGGGGCCCGGUGAAGUCUUCACGGCAGGCGGGUUGAUGGACUUGAGUCUAGGGGUUUGUCUCGGUGCAAGUAGUGGGGACCGGCAAAUAAGGGGGGAUUGCGAUGUUUGAGAUCGGUCGCUGAGCAUUAGCGACGCAAAUCGCCGUCCAUGUCUACCAUUGUGUGAUCUAGGGCAAAUCCUGAUCGACAAAAUCCAUUGCGAUGUUUUUCCAUUUCCACACGGGUAUAGUAGACUUUGCAAUUUUUUGCGCCGAAAAUCGACGCUCCGACUUUCCUUGUUGGCACGUGAGAUUUACUGGUACGAACUCUCCUAUAUCUUUCUUCAUGCCGGCACCAAUAAUCGCAAUUUCAGCAUCUCAGUAAUAUUUUGGUGGCCGGGCUGUGAUGCUAGGGAGCAUUCGAUGCGCUUCUUGCGAUAAUCGCCACCUCGGAGAUUGUCGUCCUUUUGGAGCCACGCACCAACGACCCGAUAUGUAGUGCGCUGUCCCAGUCCCAAGGCCAAAUCAUCGGGCACUAACGCUCUCAAACUUGGGCCCGCACCUUUUGGAAAAUUCAUCCUGAUACUUGUAAAUCUUUAAUCUUCUCAACAAGGUUUGGUUGCACAACCAAGUGCAAGUGGUUGCCGCGCACUCCCGGCGCCAAGACUUCUAGACAAAUCGCUGCAUCUCCUUUUGAAAAGGCGGUUGAGGUGUAAUUUUUUGUCUGCCAAUAUCUCCGCGACAUUUCUACUUACAGCAUCGGCCACGACGUUUCGCUUUCCGCGGUGGCUAGAGAAUCCGGUGAAAUUUCAUAUCUUUGAGCAAUCUAACCCCGCACUGGCGCAGUUUAGUCCUUCUGGAUUGAUAAGUAUUUGGCUUUUAUGGAUCGAUGUUAGAUCUCACAUGUUAUCAUAACGAAGUAAUUGCCUCACAAUUUUACGUGAAAACAACGCGCUUAGCUCAAGAUCGUGAGGUCGGGUAGUUCUUUUAUAAUCUUCAACUGAUUGCAUGCGAGCAUAAGUAUGACUCGGGCGUUUUGCUUAAGCACACCCGAGACGAUGUAUGAAAGCAUUCACUGUAUUACGACAUAACUCUCUCCGGCCUCAGCAAAGCAAGACCGGAGUAGAGAUUGUAGUCUAUUCUUUAGCUCGCUCAAAGCUCCUACUCAACUCGGUGGCUCAAACAUAUGCACCCCUUUGUGCGUUAAGGCGCAGUUAAGUGAGUUGUUAUCUUAGCAAACCCUCCACUAGACGCCAGGCAGCUAGCCGCAAGUCCAAGAAAGCUACGAAUUUUCGCCACACUUGUUGGGCCAGGCCAACUAUUAUCGCUUACUUUCUUUGUGGUCCACCGAGUAUGCCAUCUCGGAUACAACGUGACCCAGAGUAACCUCGGAAGCCAAAACUCACAUUUCUUUAGUUUUUCAUAAAGCUUUUCCUUCCGAGUAUCUCCAAUACGAGUCUUAGAUGCCUCCUCGUCGUUCUUCUGCGUGUCAGAGAAUAUACACAAUACGGUUUGUUCAAUGGAACCACGACUGCACGAAGUACAAUAGCGGACGAGACUUCGGUUCAUUAGGUCCAUAAAUGCCGCGGGCAUUGAGUGAGCCGAAAUUGGCUAUGGAUGGGUAACUCAUAAUGGCAUACGCCGUGACGGUACGCCGUUUUAUGUACGUCAUUUGAGGUCGUAUCUUUUCAACGGAUGAUACCCCGAUUGAGAAUCAAAUUUUUGAAUUUAGCCUCUUACCCUUGCCAACUGUCGAAUAAUGUCAUCAAUUCGACAACGGAUAUUUGUUCUGAUCGUCGACUCUAUUCAACUCGCGUUAGUCAGCAGAGUCGCAGCUUGGUGCCGUUCUUCUGUAAUUCUUUAACAAUAGCCGGAGCUCCCACAGAGGACACCCUCCCGGGCCUACAAUCAUUAUCGGGCCAGUUUCCAACUGGACGCUUUCCAAACUCUUUUGCUUCACGGUGCAAUUCUAUCAACCGCAGCCCUUCGAAAUUUUCGGUACCGCCCCGGGAACGGUCAAUGUCCAUGACAAACUCGACUUUCUCGAUCGGGGUCAAUCCCGGUAACUCGCACCUAAAAUAACAUCUGGAUGCUCACACGUAUCAACCCGAAGAUACUCUCCCAGUUCUGCCGUGUACUCUUUCCGGACAGUCUCGAUGGUCGCCCAAAUCAAGCUUGCACCUGUAAAUUACACUGAACUUUUGCAAAUUGCGAAGUGUUCGGUGUGUCAGGAAUGAGCCACUCGUGGAUCUAUCCUACGAUUCUAGGCUUGGACAAGUUUUUGUACAAGUUAUGAGAAUGAUUGGGAUGGCCAAAAGCAAGAAAGGUUGUUUUUGAAUCUGUCGCGAAAAUCAGUAGUUUUUCUGCUUGGUGGUACCGGUGUCGCGCAUCAUUUGUGUACCAGAUACACAGUGCAGAAACAUGGCAAGCAGGGUUAAUUUGGGUAAAUUCCACACCUUAUGUUAUCUUCUUAACCCCCUGCACGACUCAGGCUAAGGGAAGGUUUGCUGUGGCGCUCUCAGGGAAAGCCUCUUUCACCUUAUCACUCUCUCUCUCUAGGGUUUUUCUCUCUUUAUCUAGAAAUCGUACGAUUUGCGCCGUUUGUCGCAUGCGGUGGUUCUUCGCUGGUUGCGACUGUCGGGAGUUAGUGGACGUGUGGAGGAGUGUUUUUGAAGGUUUGUUUGCAGCUCUGAACGAUAGGGUGGGGUGUGGUUGAAGCUUGAGAAGUGUAAUCACUCAAUUUUUAUUCCCUCAAUCGAGAAAUGUCUAAUAGUCGAGAUGGGUGCUGAGAUUUUGGGUUUUUUGUUCCAGCUGAUGAGAAAAGUGGAUUUUGCCAUAUAACAGGGUCAGAUAUCGUAGAUUAAUAUCAGUUGGAUUGAUGUUUAGGCCUUAAGAAUGGUAAAUAAUUCUUUCUUUCAUUGUUGUGGGCACUAAUUCAACGAUAAAGGCUGAGUUUUUCGGGUCGCUGUUUCGCAGAGUUUUUCGAAUUAAAUUGAGCUUAUUUGGUGACUUGGGGAUUGGUUUAGAAGGUGUUCUUAACCUGAGGUAAGCAGGAAUUUUCAGUCUAAAACUGAAUUUAUAAGAAUUUGACUAUAUAGCUUAUAUGCAAGCAUAUUUAAGGCCGUUUAGUGUUUGUUCGCAGCGAGAGUUGCUACGACCUUGGGAUACCUUCACGUUGGCAUUGGAGAGCAUUAGUAAGGCUACUUGAGGUAUUAAGUAGCCACAAACAGGAUUUAGUUAUACUUCGUAUAAGUGCAAGAUACGAAAUUGGACAUUUUGGAUCGUAUGUUUGAUACGGUUUUGAAUGCAUUAUUUUCAGCAGGCUGGUAGGCUUGUUUGAGCUGAAUUUCGGGACUCUUGUGGACUGGAGUUUGAGCCUCAGUAAUAGGUUGGUUUGACCUAACGAGGAGGCAAGUGAAGCGCCCCCUUAUGUUCUUAUAUGUCCUAUAGAUUUGGUAUGUUGUGCUUCUUUGAUGGUGUGAUUAGGACUUGAGUCUAGUCACUAUGACUAUAUGUCGAUUACAUAAUUUGGAUUUGAGAUCUCUUGAAAUAGAGACAUUUAUGCAUACAGGAGUCUUUAUGUUCAUGUUUAAUUCAGUUUGAAUGACUAUAUGGACAAGUUAUAUGUUCCGGAGAACUAGGAACAAUGACAUUCUAUGACAUUUAUUCGAUUAUAAAGUAUAGUAAUAAUGACAUGCUUGGACUAUUAAUAAUAAUUGCCAAUGUCUGAAAAUUUCUAAUGCAUUUGUAUUAUUAGCAUUACUCUCACAUGUUUAUUAUCUGUGUGAUACUAGCUAUUGGUCAAUAUUCGUUUUAUAUUGAAAUUCGAUAAAGGAUGAGGAGUGAGAACAUUAAGUUAAAUCGUGAGGAUUUAAACAGUUGGACUAUCGACCUUGUUGCUUCCAUCAUGCUCGAUUGACAUGCUUGUGAGGGUCGGCUUUUUUCUUUUCUUUUAAAAAAAAAAAAAAGGGGGGGGCCCGGCACUCGAGUUGGCCUACGCGACAGUUGCUCGCCCGUGCGUGGGAUUGGUGCGAAGUGGAUUGCGGUGGAGUGUAUAUUACCACAGGACUUUAGGCGACAGCGCCUUACACUUGAAAGCUAGCUUACAUCAAUGGACUUUUAUGAUUGCAUUUUCUUAACCAUAUGAAACUGAUAGCAGCACAUUUUUUUUCUAUUAUAAUUACAAUUUCUUAACCAUUUGGAACUAAUAGCAGUAUUUUGUCCAUUGCUUCUCUUUAUGCAGCAUAUUCAUAUCACAUUUUUGUUUCGACAAUGAUGCAUAAAAAGGUAGUAGAUGUAAAUGGUAGGGAAGAAUGGACCAAUCCCACUGCAGCCACAGUUUUAUUCUAAACCUUUUUACAUCUGAGCCAUCUGAAAUCGAAAUUGCCACUUCAUAAUCCAGCAUUUUUAGAUUGUGUAAAUUAACAUGCAUAUUAGAAUGUUCAUUCUUUCUAAAAAUUGCUUUUUAUUUUUUUGUUGGAUUGUAGUGAUGACUCAGUUAAUCAAUCGCCGAGUUUUUAGAUCUCCAACUGUGGCGAAUCUCAUGGCAUUCUUAGAUGAAGAGGAAGAUUAUUGGGAUGAGGUGCAAGUUAUGUUUAUCAACGAAGGUGUCUUUGAGUUUCAAAAUACCUUGUAUAAGAGACCAUGUCACACUAGACCGUUCACUGGUCACCAACUAAUUAUGGACAUAUUGCGGGGGCAUCCUGAUAGAGGGUGUCAACAUUUUCGAAUGUCGAAUACUACUUUUUUGAGACUUCGAGAUGAAUUGGUUGGGAAGGGGUUGAUACAAGGUACUCGAAAUCUUACUAUCGAUGAGCAGCUUGGCAUAUUUUUGUUUGGUGUAGGCCAUGGUGUGACGAACAGAGUGUUGGCUGAAACAUUUCAGCACUCAGGGGAGACUGUUAGUAGAUAUUUUAAUAAUGUGUUAAAUGGUGUGGUCGAGCUUAGGCACGAAUAUAUCCAGUUGCCAAGAAGUAAUGUGGGAGUGCACCCAAAAAUUAGAGACAAUCCAUUAUUUCAUCCAUUUAAGGUGAUUUGAAUAUGAACUUUUGCAAUAUUUGUUAAUUAGUUAUAAUAUUUUUCACUUAUUUGAUAUCUUCAUUAUUAAUCGCAGAAUGCAAUUGGUGCUAUAGAUGGGACGCAUAUACCGGUAGUCGUAAGAAAGAACAAGCAACCACGAUAUCAUUGUCGUAAAGGAUAUACAUCGCAAAAUAUGAUGGUUGCGUGCUCGUUUGACCACCAGUUCUUAUUCGUCUGUACCGGGUGGGAGGGAUCGGCAGCUGAUAUGAGGGUGCUACGUUGGUGUUGUGAAAGUGGGGGUUUCAUAGUUCCUGAAGGUAGAGUAAUUUUUUAAUUUCGUCAUUUUCCAUUGUGCUAUUUUAAAUUAACAGUUCGUUUUUUUAUAGGAAAAUUUUACUUGGUGGAUUCUGGUUAUGCAAACACUGAUCGAUUCCUCGCACCUUUUAGAGGAGAGCGCUACCACCUAAGCCAAAUUGGUGGCAAUGCAAGGGCGCGCACACAUCGAGGGCCUCGAGAUUUAUACAAUCAUAGGCAUGCCCAGCUUAGAAAUGUUGUUGAGAAGGCUUUCGGCAUCUUGAAGAAACGAUUCAAGGUGCUUCGCCAAGCAACUCCUUUUCCGUACAAGGUACAAUGUCGCAUAGCCUUAGCAUGCUGUGUAAUCCACAACUUCAUCAAGAGGCACCAAGGGAGCGAUAGAUAUUUUAAUAUGCAAAUGGAGCCAAAUCCACAUGACGACCAAGACGAGGAUCCUAUACGUAUGGUUGGCAUAGAUGAAUCCCGACGAGGCGACGCCCUUCGUACUAUGAUCACAGAGCAAUUAUGGAAUAAUAGAUAGGAUGCAAUAUCUUGGACUAUAUAAUUUUAAUAUUUCAUUUUAUUAGAGGACAUUUCCGUUCACAUAUUAGUAUUUGGCUUUGAUAGUCAAUAUGAAGCUAGAAACUAUUGUUUACGUCUGUUUGUGUUUUUUUUUCUCAAUGAACUUGUGUUGUUUAUUAUGUUUAUAUAAUUUGUAUGAUCUUUUUUUUGAAUGAACUUGUGUGUUGAUUAUGCUUACAUAAUUUGUAUUAGCCAUUAGGAGGUUAACCUAUAUAUUGAUGAUAAUUAUCAUUCAAUAACGAUGUGGAGUUUUUCUGCUAUUUAUGGCCCUACGACAUUGUAGUUUUGAAACCACGUACAAUUGGGGGCAACUAAUCCCUCUUAUGCAAUUUGUGGACCUAUAUUAAUGUAAUUUUAUUAGUUGUUCAAUUUAUAACAACAAAUUUAUUGUAUUAUAACCUUCAUUACAAAUUUAGCGUUAAUGUAGUAUCUAGACGACUAGAAUUUUUGACAGAAUAUCUUUCCUACUGUAAUGCAAUGUUUAAACCUAUAUUUCAUAAAUGAUUAUUUAAUUUUUUAAAAUUAAAAAAAUAAUUAUGUAGUAUUGGGCCAUCUAUUAGUUAGUUUUGGCAUUUAUGUUGUCAUGCUUAUUUAAUUUAGCACUCCAUUUUAUAUAUAUUUUUUUAUCAUAUUUAUUAAUUUAAUAAUUUUUCAAAUUUUAUGAAAAUUAUUAUAAGUUAUAUUGUGCAGUGCCUAUAUAUUCAAUAUUUCCUACAUUAGAGUAACAUAGAAGGGCCAACUUGGAAUUUUUAAAAAUUUCAAUCUACUUUUGUUCUUAUUCUUUCUAUUCUCUAGAAAAUAACCAAAUAAUAUUUUAAUUAUUCCAUAGAAUAAGAAAGUGUCAGACCAAACAAAAAAUUUCUUUUAUUCCUCUAUAUCCUAGAAUAUAAAAUAAUUUCAAGAAUAUAAAUAUUUAUCCCUCUGAAUAUUAUUCUAUUACCAAAUAUAGCCUAAUAAAACAGUUGUAAAGGUUAAUAGAACAUUCUUAAUUGUUUUAUGGUUGUGAACACUCUUAACAGUUGUAUAUGUUAUUUUUGCGAUUAAUAGAUAUUCUAUUAUGCAUAGCAUUUAUAUGUUUGCAUUCAAAGAAAUAAAAAUUAAAACAUGAUAAGAGUGUUCUAUUAUAUCAUAAUAGUGUCAAACUGUAUAUAUUAUGCAUUCAUAGGAUGAACAUAAUUAAUUUAUUUUCUAAUUACUUUUAAAAUGAAGUUAUGUGCUGACUUGUGGUUCAUAAAAUGCAGGUGAAAAUAUGAUUUCCACCAGAGCGAAGUCGGGCAAGAAGGCCACUACAAGCGGUGAAGGCACAUCUACGCAUUCUACAGAGAAAAUAAAAGAGAGGUCAUCGAAAGCUAAAAGGCCGACCAUGGAGCUUGUUGUGGGCAGAUGUUACCCAGUUCGUCUGCACACCACAAUGUGUGUUUCAGAGUUGCCGAAGACUGCAGGCAGAAUUCAAACAGCUGGCCCAGCUUUACGUGAUGUAAUGUCCGAUGAACAGAUGGCACUCUUGAAGACCACGCCAUUCUUUUCUUAUCUCGACUUGCCUCCAAUGAAUCAAGAUCUUUUGUUAGUUGAUUCCCUCCUGAGUUUUUGGGACGAAGAGAGAAAAUGUAUUAGAAUUGGAGAAACCUUUCUUCCCUUUAGUCUAGAGAAAAUAUCAAUUUUGGUAGGGCUGCCAGCAGAGGGGGAACCAAUAGAAUGGCAGAACAAGAGUGUAAUGUCGAGUACUGUUGAUAAAUACUUCAAUGAUGACUAUCGGCAUGCCGAUAGGUCGAAAUUAAGACAUUUUGUACAGUAUUGCUGGUCAGAAUGGAGCGAAGAUGGCAGCUGAUUUUGUGCGUAUAUUUAUAUUAUACGUAUUUGCGACCGUCCUUUUCCCUACCAGCCACUAUAAUGUGCCGAAAGCACUAUAUAAACAUAUAGAUGAUGUACAUAGAAUAGGAAAAUAUGUCUGGAGUCAUGCUGUAUGUAAUUAUCUUGUAAGUUCGAUCUCAAGAGCAUCCCCACGUGUGAAGCAUCGGAAUAGCGGCCAAGAAAGACUUGAUGGCUAUAUCGACGGGUGUACAAUAGUAUUUUUGGUAAGUAAUAUCAUAAAUUAGUAUGUCAAUAGAAUUUCUUUUGCACAUUUUUUUUAUGAUGAUAAUAAUAUUAAUUCUUGAUAAACUUACAGAGUUGGGCUUACGAGCAUAUAUAGAAUUAGGCUACUAUACUAUCUAUAGUACUGGAGCUCCGGUACUAUAGUCUUGUCUUCGAUCUUAUGGUGUUCAAAUUAACGAUCCACAUCGUUAAAUAUGAUCUAGGGUAUAUGAAGUUCUUAGAAAUAAAAUUUUAGUUUUUUUCGACAUCGUUUACUUAGUAAAUAAAUUAUGUCAAAAUGGACAGUGGAAAUUGAAUAUUUUUUAAAAUUUGAGCAUAGGACUUAUAAAUUCAAGAUCAAGAAUAUUAACCUUAAUCUAGAUAGUUUAAAGUAUUUUCUAUCAAAAUUUAAAGAAAUUUAGAUUCUUCCACUCUGUUAAACUCCAAACUCGCCAUAGUAGCCAUUAAAAAUUGACAAUUUUGAAAAGGUUUGAUCAUAAAGUAAACUAUGUCGAAAAAUAUAAAAUUUUAUUUCUAAAAAUUUUAAAUAGCCUAGAUCAGUUUUAACGGUGUGGAUCAUUGAUUUGAAUACUCUAAGAUCGAAAACGGGACUAUAGUACUGGAGCCCCGGUACUAUAGAUAGUAUAGGAGACUAGCUCUAUAUAUAUAUAUAUAUCUAUUAACCUAAAUGAAACCAUAAUGUUUCUUGCCACGUGGCAAGAAAUCCUUCAUCCUCAUAAUAAUAAUAAUAAUAUAUAAUAUAAUACAAUAAUUUAUUAACUCCUCUCCUAUAUGAUUUAUUAAUGUUUCAUCAAUUGAUUUUAUAUUAACGUUUCAUCUAUUAAUUUUAUUUUUUUUGUAAUAACUCUCUCUCCCCCAUCCCUUCCCCUCCCCUUUCCUUCCCAACUAUACGUUCUUGGCCGUAUAGUAUAUGAUUCAUUAAUAUUUCAUCAAUUAUUUGUAUAUUAAUGUUUCAUCAAUUAAUGAUAAUUAUAAUCGUAAUUGAUUACUAGACCAAUUAUUCGUAGCCACCGUUUCAUUCUUUCAUUUUGUUAAUUUUUUUAUAAAAUUUUAAAAUAUAUUUACCUAAUAUGUGAAAUAAUUAGAUUUUAAAUUUAGGCUCUUAGUAUCAAUCAUUACAAGAUUAAUUCUAUUUGAAUAUUCUCGCGUCGAUCCUCCUCUACACAUAUCACCUUUGCAAUCUCGAUGACACCGAUCCCAUCCGUGAGUAUUUUUUUUCAAAUAUAAUAAUUUUUUUAUAUAGAUUUGAGUGAUUUGGUGAGAAUUAGUAAUAUUUUGAGGUUAAUUAGAAUUUUUUUGGUUCAAUUUGAGCGAUUUGGCAUGAAUAGAUGACAUUUUGAAAUGCUAUAUGUUAUAGAAAUGCUAUAUGUUAUUUGCACAAUUAUUAUUCGUACUAUAUUACACAUUCCAGACUAAAUGAAUGAAUAAUCUACAUUGUAUAUAUUAGUAUAUUUCUAUAUACUCUAAUUAGGAUUUAUUUAAAAUAUUUUUUUUUCCUGUUGCAUCGAUUGCUAUAUAAUUGUCUAUAUUGUACCCUUUUUGAUAUAGUAAUAUUUUAUUUAGUUAUAUUAAUAUUUUAUUAUUUAUAAAUUUUUCACUUUAGCAGUAACUAUCCGCUGCAUCGCGCGGGUGCCUACACUAGUAUAUAUAUAUAGAGUGAGGCUACUAUGCUUCUGGAAGCACGGAGCCUUCCGUGCUUCCAGGUCGUUUUGAUGUUGCGACUUUCGAAUCGUCGAUCGGCUCCGUUAAACUUGAUCUAGAGUAUUUGAAGUACCUAGAAAAUAAAUUUUAUGAUUUUUCGGUAUCAUUUGCCUAGUGAUCGAAGGGACUCAAAAUUAAUAAUUUUAAUGGUCGUGAUGAGCCGUUUGCAAGUUUAACAGUGUAGAAAUAUCCAAAUCACUUGAAAUUUUAAUAGAAAAUUUUUCUACUAUAUAAAAAAAGAUCAAUAUCUUUGAUCUAAAAUUUUAAUGUCAUAUUAUCACGUUUUGUAAGAUUUAUAUUUUUAGUCGUUGAUUUUGAGCCCCUUAGUUCACUAGGCAAAUGAUAUCGCAAAAUUACAAAAUUUAUUUUCUAAGUACUUCAAAUAUUUUAAAUCAAGUUUAACGGAGCCGAUUGACGAUUCGAAAGUCGCAACAUCGAAAACGACCUAGAAGCAUGGAAGGCUCCGUGCUUCCAGAAGCAUAGUAGCCUCACUCUAUAUAUAUAUAUAUAUAUAUAUAUAUAUAUAUAUAUUUGAAUAAGUUAUUGAAAACUAAGUUAUUCGGUAUGAGUAUUUUUUUUAAAUGCUGAGUUUGCAAUUUCAUACUAAAAAUUUUAUCUAUCAAAUACUAUAUGAGGCCGUUUUGUCAGAUGUAUUUGUAAAUACAGUGUAGUUGGAUAUGUAUGUAGUUAAAAAUAUAGUAGUUAUAAUUACUUGUACAUUAUUUAGUUGGAUGAAUUAGAAAGCACAAUGAUUAUAAAUGAUUCAUUUACGUAAUACGGUUGAGAAGUACAAUUUACAAAAUUUUAUUUUUUUAUAUAUGAGUAGUCACAUUAAUAUAAAUAGGAAAAAAAUUAUUUUUCGCUUAAAAGGUUACUACGAAAAGAUAACAUUACCGUUUAUUUAAAAUUACUUUCUCCAUCCGUUGCAAUUAGAGCUGCGGUCAAUUUAGAUUUAGUUUCAACUGUUGUAGGCGAGUCUCCUAUGCAAUUCCAACUGUAACACUUGAAAUGAAAUAAAUCAAAUCAGAAUAAAAGAUUUAGUUUAUACGCAGAUACCACUGCAGUAAAGUUUAACUAUGCGCAACCAAAGCUAUGUGAAUGAGAAUAAGAUAUAUUUGUGAGACAAAAGAUAAUUUUAUAUAACAUGUUUUCCCUUUGCAGGACCGUAUUAUUAAUUAAAAGAAUGGUAAAUCUUUAUCGUAAGAACACGGGGGGGGAUUUAUUCUUCUCGGAUGACUCGGGUCGUUUUAUUCCUCCUCCACGGAUUGAUGCCCAACGAAUCAUAAAUCAUAAUCAAACCGAGAAUAUCGAAUACGCUUUGUAAUAAUAAUACUCGCCGGCAGGUUGAUCAGUCGAGGGAAGAAUUAGUUCCCUUUUUUCGUUCGUCUUCCGCUCCUCCCUUCCUGCGCUUCUUUCGACCGCCCGCCCGCCCGCCCGCCAGCCCGCGCGCCAUCUCGCGAAAUGGACGGCGCGACGGGCCCGGUCCACCUGCCGACGGUGCUGAUCACGAACGACGACGGGAUCGACGCCCCCGGCCUCCGCUUCCUCGCCGACCUCCUCGUCGCCGCCGGCCGCUACCGCGUCCUCGUCUGCGCCCCCGAUUCGUCCGUCCUCCCUUCUUCCGUCUCCCCUCCCAUCUAUCUAUCAGCUUAGUUUGUUUAUUUCUCUUUUCCUUUCUUUUUUUCGGAGAGACAAAAAUAGCAUACAUUUUUUCUUUAAAAAAUAAAUAUAGCUGAAAAUAUUAAAGCAAUUAUAUUUCAAACUUGGAUAUGCACUUUCGAUACCAAAUACCAAUCAUCAAACUUUUUGCCACUUGCGCUUUUGUUAAGACAAAUUCCGAGCGAUUUCCUGGUAAAUCAAUCUUAAAGUCUCCUCUGUUCCAAGAAGUUCUUAGUUUGAUUCUGUAUGUUUUUCCUUGAUAUCCACCAUGCACGUGAUUGCGAGUGUUAAAGAUAAAUUCUGAGCUGAGUUAAAUCGAUAUUUUGGGUGGCACUCUUUUCCUCCUCAUAUAAGGAGGAAUAUGCUUUGUAGAGCAAAAACCAAUCUGGAGGAUCGACGAUUACAUUUAUAUUUCUUUUUGAAACUUUUUAAAGUUUAUGCGAUUAAUGUCAUGUUAGGUAAGUCUGAAACCUGAGAAAUGACUAGUUCUCAGAUGCGCCUGAUAUCUUCUUGCAAGAAGGUUUUAUUUUAGAUAAAAGUGUCGCCUCAAUUAUUGGCCACUUUGGAAUAUAGACCACUCUUUGUUUAUUUGCUUGCUUCGAUUUUGGUUAUUAUUGUCGAUUGAAUUGCAGUUUCUAUUUAAACAACGGUGCUGUCAGCCACAAGCCUGCCGAAUCUGUCGUUCUGUCAGCUCGAAAAUGAUAAGAUCGUGAUGUUUAACAUAAUUACCUUUAUACUUGAUGAAAUCUCCAAUUCAACUGGUGGAACCAACUCAAAUUAUCAAUCAAAAGGGAAAAAUAAAAAGUUCUAAGUGGGUCUAUUUCAAAUGGCUUAUGGUUGAGGGGUUCUCGGUACAUUUAUGCCUUUAUUGUGUUGUCCAUUCAGUUAGUAGGCGAUAGAUGUCUAUUGCCGAACUUAAUAACUAUAUGUAAACAAUUAGAUCAGGAAUUCCGUGCGCUACUUUAACUUGCUAAAUAUUAUUUCUCAGUUUGUUCACAAAUUGAUUUUUUCUGUAAACAAUGGUUCGGCUUCCUAUUAUUUUAUUUUCAGGGACAAGUCGGGUGUCGGUCAUGGUGUUACAUGGCGUUAUGCGCUUAGUGCCAAGCGCGUUGAAAUUGAAGGGGCUACAGCUUUUGCAGUUUCAGGUUCAUCUUGCAGUGUUUAAUCAUUAUUAUAGAUUAUCAGUGUCAUAUUUUUAUAAGCACAGUUUAAUUUGAAAUUCUAUUUGUAAGAAAAUUUUCUUGGAUUUAUCUAAUGAUAUAUAUUCAAAUAAAUUGAGCAAGCCAACCUCACAAAUUUCCAAUUUCAGGUGAUUAUGCCAGUUAAGUAUCAUUAAUUUUACUGAUAUUUCGAUUAAGGUUGGAUGAUCGACUGAAUUCAUAUGGGCUUGAAGAAAUACUAACUGGCUUGUUCUUGACCUGAAAUACUUGGUAUUCCUUUGGAGUUUAUCUUUCUUUGGAAGUUCAAUACACUUCUGGUUCUUCAUGUGCUUACCUCCUUCUACUUGAAGUUUUGACUUGCUGAGUCUGCACAUGAAUAAUUUGUUGGUAGUCAAUCAAACAGGAAGAGAUAAUCCACUUGGCUGUGAGUGAUUGCUGACUUGCCUCGCCGUUAAAUGACUAUUUUCGACAUACUCCAUUUAGACAUAGCAUUUUUAGUACUUAGGCAAUUAAAUUCCAUAAAAAAAUGUAAGAUAUUUCAUGUUAGCCAAUAUCUUCUUGAAGUUUAUUGAGGUUUCACAAUUACUGAUGGAAAAGACGAGAGUUUUGAAUUCCUAAUUUGAACCAGCUCAUAGACAUUCAAGAAAAUUGGAUAUAUUUGAAUGUUCAUUUCCCUAGAAAGGACUAGGCUGUCGUGUGAUGAUUGACUAAAGGAAGUUCCAUUAUGUAGCUAGGCCACUAAAACCAUUUGGAUGGAAAUAUCACAUGCUUUAUUGUCCGCUGCAUGAUUACCUUUCUCGCAUCCUUUCUCUCCUUUGUGUGGGCAUCAAUGCAUCAUCAUGUUUGAGGCAUUGGUCCAAAGAGAUUGUUGUCAUGAUAGGAUAUGCUUUGUAAAACUCAAAUUCUUCAUGAGCCUGCUUCUUAGAUUUCCUCUUGCUACUCAAGAUAAUCCUGUUGGUACGUCAUUCUUUUAGGUGUUAUUUGUUAGUCAAAAAGUAGUAAGUCAUUGCGAGAUUAAUCAUAGCAUAGAUUUCCAUAAACAGAGGGGAUAAUUCAUGUCAUCCUUUGAAGGUUGUUCACAGACUCUAUUUUCUCCUUUCUGACAACUUUUGCUGCUCUACACUUGAGUGACAUUUUGGACAUUUUCUAGCCACCUAUAACAAAUCAGCGUAUUCAUAUGACUUCCUCUUUAUUAGGUCUGCAUCUAUAUUUCUUUUUUUAAUUUUGAUUUGCUCACUUGUAACAAUAUUAUUUUUCUCUUUUGUCUUCCUAAGAUUGUCUACGCGACCGUUGUGAUAGAAACAUUGAUGUUUUAGAACAUAAAUAAUUUGCUAUUCAAGCAGGUUGAUUUAUCAGUCUGUUUGUUGGUGAAAAUAGAACUCAUUCUUUUCUACAAUAUGAACAUCUAGUUAUUAUUUAUAUUAAAAGUAAGUCAAAAUAAAUAAUUUCAUGAGAUCUGUAAGAAUGUGUGAAUAGUGACAACUUGUCAUUCAUGUUUGACGCAUCAAUCCCCAAAAAAAUAUUUUUGAGUAAAUUUUUGGGAUUAGAAUUAUAUGCUUUGAUUGAGCGUAAAUAGCAAGAUUUUAAGUACCCGUCGGCACGGGCCGUAUCCACCGUGCCGUACCGUACCAACAAGAUAACGGCACGAUACAGACCUCGUGCCGAUGGCACAGCUCAAAACCCUCUAUUCUUUAAAUUAGUAAGUAAUUUUCUCAAUAAAGUGCAAAAGAUGUGAUAAAAACACAUAAUAAAUAGUUAGAAUAUUUUGUUGCUAAAGAAAAUAAAUAUUUCAUGCUAUUAUGUGUCGGCACACAAGAAUUUUUUUGACCGGCACGCAUCGGCACGGCUCGGCAUGUACCGUGCCGUACCGUGCCGGCAAGUUUCCAGCACGAUCCCGUGGCACGGCAUUUAAAUCCUUGGUAUAUGGGAUUACAUUGGUCACCUUAACAUGCUUGUUGACCGUAAAAAACCAAUGUUUCAAAAGGUAGUAUGCGGUAUCCAUAUGGUUACCUAACGCAUAACGCUUAUGCGGUAUCCGGACGCAUAUGUGGUCCAUCGAUUAAAAUAUUAAUAAAAUAUAUAUAGGUGUAAAAAAAUAUAAAAUACUUCCUAACAAAGCUAAAUAACUAAACUAACAAUUCAGAAUUCACAAAUUAAAAUAAUUAAUUUUCAAGUAAAUCACCUCAUCACUAAACUAUAUUCUUAAUUAUUAAAUAGAGAAAUAAAUAGAAUUUUGAUGUAAAAUCAUCACAAAUGUCGAACCAAAAUCAAUGUUCUAAAAAGCGGUAUGCUAAACUUUUAUGAAAAAUAAUAAUUUUUUCAAUAAAUUGUCAUUCACAUUAUUUGAGGGGCCAACACUUAAAAAAAAACCAGUAUAAUAACAUCUAACAACUACAAAAUUAUUCACACACACACAUGUAUAUAAAGAUGUCAUUAGAUAGAUUAAGAAUAAUGCAUACUAAAUUAAGAAAAGAGAGACUUAGGUUAUAUAUAUGAAGAAAAUUGCUUUUAUAUGCAUUAUUAUUACUUAAACUUGUAUGUUAUAUGUAUAUGUAUAAUUAUUAAUCAAACAAUCCCAUUCAAUAUUGUAUUUCAAUCCCAUCUUAAUACCGUAUAUUCGGCCGCCUAUUGCAUAUGGGCCACAUAUGCUGUCUGAUCGCAUAUUGCAACGGAUAUUAUAUAUGCGACAUGGUUUAUGAUCCGAACUGCAUAUGCGGCCACAUGGACCGCUUUUUGGAACAUUGAAAAAUUUACUCCAUUACUUCAAGAUUAGAUUCCUAAUUUUCCUAUCUCAAAUAGAUUAGUUGGUCAAAAUUCUUGUUCUAGUUAUACUUCUCUUAUUUAGUUUUGCAUGUUUAUGAUAAUGUUAUGUAUUUAUCUACAUGCAUCAACAUGCAUCAUGCACCAAGUUCUUAUUUCGAUAUGUUUUCAUAUAUUUAGGAACUCCUGCCGACUGCGCUUCUCUGGGAAUCUCUGGGAAACUCUUUCAGGGUGUGAUUCCUGACCUGGUAAACUCUUGGUUGAUAGACAAACAUUCUCAUUAAUUCCAUUAACAUACUUUAGUGUGCAGAAUAUAAUAGUCCUCCUUGUAUGUUGAUUCUAGUGUUAAGUUGAUUGUGCUUUUAGGUUGAGAUCAAGAUAAAAUUUAUCCAAAAGCUGCAUUAUUUGUUUAGAUGUCCUUGCAAAUCACUAAUUUAGUCUUUUCCUUGCUUCAGGUAAUCAGUGGCAUUAAUGUUGGCAACAAUUGUGGAUAUCACAUGUUAGUUACUUCAUUUUUAACCUUUAUAAAGCACAAUCUUUGUAUUAGUAGAACGUGUAUAACUCUUUUUCUGUUGUAGUAGGCAAGGAUUUAAGAACCGUGGCAUGGGGUUGUGCUGAAAAUUUGCUAGCACGGUACAGCAUUGUGCGUGCCAUGCUGUGCUAAUGUGUGACGGUCACAGAGAACAUAGCUAUGUGCCGACAUACAAUGGCAUGAAAUAUUUAUUUUCUUUAGGACCAAUAUGUUCUAAUUAAUUGUUAUAUAUAUUUAUCAAAGAUUUUGCACUUUAUUAAGAUAACUACUUGCUAAUUUCAAUGAAAAGAGGGUUUUGAGCCAUGUCAUUAGUAGGGGGGUCUUAUUGUGCUAAUAUCUCGGCACGCUAAGCACGGUAUGGCACAGUGAGCAUGGCCCGUGUCAAUGGGCACCUAAAUCCUUGGUAAUAGGAAAUGAUCUUCUUUGUCAUUUAACAAAAUCUUAUAUCAAUUCUUGGUCAUAUGCUGAAAUUUUCCUAUAUUAGAUUUCUGCUUGUGGGAUAUUAUGAUUUAUGAGCCAUAGAUGAACCAAGGGGAUAUGGUUCUUUAAUUAGAUGCAGGAUAGUACAUUCUUGCAGACAAUCACUAUUGUAGGCUGCUUGUUUUUCUUGUCUGGAGGAUGAUUUCUAUCUUCUCAUAUAUUGUAGAAUUUUGGUCAACAUCUUAAUUGAUUCAUAAAUGAAAGAAUUGGAUCCAAAUAGCUGAACCCAAAUGGAUAAGACUAAGGCUUUAUUUCAGUAGAGCCUCUAGUAUCAAAUGAUACAUCUUCUUUCUCUAGAGUCUUCUCGCUUCCAGCAAAAUUUUGCUUGGUCAUUCUUUGGUUGCUGAGCAUAAACUGCAAUCAACAUGGAGAUUCUUCUUUCUGGAAUCUGGUCUUACAGGUAUCAGAUUGCUAGCUAAUUGUAUUGUUUCAAUCUUUCCAUGGAGCCUCCUCCACAGAGUGUUAUGGGCAGAGCUAAUAGUCAAAAUGGUUUUGAUGGUAUGACUAUAGUUUAAAUCCAUAAUGUUUAUAGUGCAUUCACUUUGUUUCACCAAACUGAAUCUUAAUUGCAAUUUCAUUCGUCUUUCUCUUUCUUGUUGUUUUUUAGUUAUGUUCUGCUCAGGCUUGACAUAAACACUAUGAUUCUAUUUAUUCUUUAGGGCCUGUUUGGUCACUAGGCAAAACAAUUGCAUUGUCUAGAAAAAUUUUUAGAGCGGCCUUGCUACAAAGUAGGAUUUCUCAAGGAAGGAAUACCUGAUUUUCAAACUAUUUGGGUCCUUAACAGAUGAUCUUUUCCUACAUUUCUGGAAUUUCAGAUUCAUAUCCACGAUCAUAAACAAGUCAUGAAAAUUCUUAUAGCUAUCUGAGCGAAAAUGUAGCGAACCAAAAGAGAUAUAGAGCGGAGAUUCUUAUAGUUUUCCGAGCAAAGGUGUAGGGAAUCCAAAGAAUAAAGGAGACAACUGAUUAUACAUUAAAAACUAUCUACUCAGAAGGGAAUAGAGACUUAGGUUUCGAGGAGGCAAUUGAACACCUAGCUUAUUAAUCUCCCAACUUUGGUGUUGGAAUCUAUUAUCACUGUUAUAUUCUAUAUGAAAUAGAACUUCAUACAUUGAAUCACAGUUUAUAGCUUAUUAUCUUUGUAAAUAAUCUUCAGCACUUACUUGGCUCCUUCACCCACUAGCCAACCGUUAAGGCCCCUUUUGGUUCGGGGAUAAAGCAGGGAUAACGAAAGUUAUCUAUGCUAUUUUGCCAAAUGGGACAUUUUUUGGCCGGGAUAAAAUAUCUCGGUCAAACCUUGCAAUUACCGAUUAUCUCAGGAUAGCUUGGGAUAAACUAUUCCACCCAAAUGGUAGAAUAGUGCAAUUUCAAAGUUUAAUUCCAAGCUUUAUUAAGACUAUAAAUUGAGUAAAAAUAAUUUAUGUAGAUAUAAUAUUUUACAUGUUAUAAUAAAUUAUUUUUUUAAAAGUUAUUAAGUGUACUAUAUUAAUACAUAUUAUUUGUACUUAAAUAUUAUUAUAAAUAUUAAAUAAAUAUAUGUAUUUAUAUAUUAAUAUAAAUAUUAAAUAAAUUAUACUUAAAUAUUAUAAGAUAUUAUUUUAUUAAAUAUUAUAAUAAAUUAUUUUUAUAAUAGAGUAUGUCUCCUAUGUUUUUGAAAGCACGAAGGUCUAUGAGAUAUUUUAUUCGACGAUCGGCUUCGUUAGGCAUGAUCUACACUAUUAGAACUAUCUAGAAAUUAAAUUUUAUAAUUUUUCAACAUUAUUUGCCAAGCGAUCAAAGGUCUCAAAAAUGACUAUUUAAAUUUGCUGAUGUGGCAUGUUUGUAAAUCAACAGUGUAGAACAAUCCAAAUUAGGUGAAAUUUUAAUAGAAAAUUCUCCUUACCAUCAAAAGUAAGAUCAAUACUUUCGAUUUGAAAUUUAACUCUUCUAUCACCGUUUUUUAUGAGAUUUUUAUUUUUAGCCGCUUAUUUUGAGGUUACUCGUUCACUAGGUAAACGAAGUCAAAAAAAUUAUGAAUUUUGGUUUUUAGAUAGUUUUAAUACUGUAAAUCAUGUCUAACGGAGCCAAUCGCCAAAUUAGAUGUUCCGUCAUUGAAAACAACUUGAAAUCGCGGCGGCCUCCAUACUUCGAAAGCGUAGUAGGCUAGCUCUUUAUAACAAAUUAUUUUUAUUAAAUCACAUUUUAUAUCAAAUUCAAACAUCACUUUUUUUCACUAUUCUCCUUUAUUCCAAAAUUAACCAAAUGAAAUUUUAGUUACUCUUGUAAAUGGCAGCAUUAGAAAUUAAACACAAUUUUGCUUUUAUUCCUGCUUAUCCCAAUGUUCAUUAUCCCAAACCAAAUGUAGCCUAAAAGUAUUAAUCAGUAAUUACACUUCCAUAUAUUUGAGAGACAUUAGCUAGGUACAUUUGGAACAGUGAGAUGAUAUUGAGUUUAUUACCGGUAUUUGUUGAAGAAAUAUGUAAAUAACUUUUGCUUGUGCUGCCAGUUUUGUACAUUAUGGCUAUAUGUUGAAGAGAUUGUAGGAUUGAUGAGCAUUUGUUUUUCACUUAAUGUGCAGUGUUUACUCGGGGACUGUUGCCGGUGCUAGGGAGGCCUUCUUGUAUGGCAUACCUUCUUUAGCUAUAUCAUACAACUGGUAAGUGAGAAGCUUUUAUUCCGUCUUUGUAUAUGAUAUUCUAUCUUGCUAUAUGUGAAAUAUAUAAAACAACCGUUGUACUCUAAAAGCUUAAGCUGAUAGAGAACGGUAUUUAACUAUUUUUAUAUUUAAUACUCCCCCUCACGUCUGGGCUCGAGACUUUUUGUAGGCCCAUGAUGUUGACUUAAAUUAAAUGGAAAGAAAUUAAUAGCGGUAGGAGUCUGGCGUGACUCGAACUCAAGACCUCCUGCUCUGAUACCACGUGAAAUAUAUAAAACAACCAUUGUAAUCUAAAAGUUUAAGCUAAAACGGCAAUGACAAUAAAAUAUGCUUCUUCUACUUUAGUGCUAUCCUGAGUGUGAACUAAGAGUGAGAUAGAUUGAAAAGAGAGACGAGAGGAAAUGUAGAUAUUUGAUGGGUUUACAGACCAACCUCUUAGAGCCAUCAAAAUUUAUUUCUACUUUUAGAUUUAUAAGCUUAAAUGCACAAAUUCUCCUUUACUUUUGAUCCUUGGACGAGACUUAAAUGUUGAGCUGAAUGACUGGAAAGAUUAGAUAAAGUUUUGGGUAAGAUGUUAACACUGUUAAUGACAUGCAAGGUGAAUACUGGAGAUAGAUCAGAUAAGAUGCUAAUAAUUGAUGAGCUAGUUACAUAUUGUUUCCCAUCGUUUGAUGAUUUAUUUCUUGUAAAUUGUAGAAGGUAGUUUGUUGAUCAUUUCUUGUGCCUCUAUUUGCUGCAUGUCUUAUUCUGUUGUACAUUAUGUUUCCAGGUCAAGAGGUGAGAGCACUGUUCAGGACCUAAAACUAGCCGCAGAGGUUUGCUUGCCUCUAAUAAAUGCUGUACUAAUUGAGCUGAAAAACAAGACUUAUCCUGAAGGAUCAUUCUUGAACAUAGAUAUACCGACAGAUGUUGCGCAUCACAAGGUAACCUUAAAUAUCUGGCCUUUCUCAGCAUAGCAUGCUUAGUAUAUUUAAUUUCAGUUUAGUACUAUAGAACUAUACUUGAGGGUUCUCUAUUUGUUCUUUUUCAUAUUCAGAUUAGUUCUUCAAAAUAAAUGCACCCUAACAAAUGGCUUCUCACUAAACUACAAGUUUGUUGUAGCAAAAUAGCGGUGGAUUGAGGCAAGGAUUGCCGUGCCAAUUGGCUCCAUCUAGCAUGGCCAACACAUCUUGAUGCCGCUUGUGCUGAAAAGCCUGUGCUGCCCACACUGAUCAUGUUGACAUAUAAAAUA
rnacentral:lncRNA from 1 species